CGGAGGUGGCAAGCGUUGUUCGGAAUUACUGGGCGUAAAGGGCGCGUAGGCGGCUAGGCAAGUCAGGUGUGAAAGCCCCGGGCUUAACCCGGGAAUUGCGUCUGAAACUGCUGUGCUUGAGUUCUGGAGGGGGUAGUGGAAUUCCCAGUGUAGCGGUGAAAUGCGUAGAUAUUGGGAGGAACACCUGCGGCGAAGGCGGCUACCUGGACAGAAACUGACGCUGAGGCGCGAAAGCUAGGGGAGCGAACGGGAUUAGAUACCCCGGUAGUCCUAGCUGUAAACGAUGGGCACUUGGUGUUGGGGGUAUUGAGUCCCCCAGUGCCGGAGUUAACACGUUAAGUGCCCCGCCUGGGGAGUACGGUCGCAAGACUG
rnacentral:rRNA from 1 species